AUACAUUUUGUAGUUCAUAAUUAUGAUUAUUGGGUUUUCAGGCUCACAUAUAAGAUGUGCCUCCCUAAAACCUUUUACAACAUUGGCACAUAACCCCAUCUAAUG